rnacentral:rRNA from 1 species
UAGGGAAUCUUCGGCAAUGGGGGGAACCCUGACCGAGCAACGCCGCGUGAGUGAAGAAGGUUUUCGGAUCGUAAAGCUCUGUUGUUAAGGAAGAACGAGUGUGAGAAUGGAAAGUUCAUGCUGUGACGGUACUUAACCAGAAAGGGACGGCUAACUACGUGCCAGCAGCCGCGGUAAUACGUAGGUCCCGAGCGUUGUCCGGAUUUAUUGGGCGUAAAGCGAGCGCAGGCGGUUAGAAAAGUCUGAAGUGAAAGGCAGUGGCUCAACCAUUGUAGGCUUUGGAAACUGUUUAACUUGAGUGCAGAAGGGGAGAGUGGAAUUCCAUGUGUAGCGGUGAAAUGCGUAGAUAUAUGGAGGAACACCAAUGGCGAAGGCGACUCUCUGGUCUGUAACUGACGCUGAGGCUCGAAAGCGUGGGUAGCAAACAGG